CCUACGGGCGGCUGCAGUGAGGAAUAUUGGUCAAUGGCCGCAGGGCUGAACCAGCCAAGUCGCGUGAGGGAUGACGGUCCUAUGGAUUGUAAACCUCUUUUGUCAGGGAGCAAAGGGCGCCACGUGUGGCGUUUUGCGAGUACCUGAAGAAAAAGCAUCGGCUAACUCCGUGCCAGCAGCCGCGGUAAUAAGGAGGAGGCGAGCGUUAUCCGGAUUUAUUUGGUUUAAGGGGUGCGCAGGCGGAAUGUCAAGUCAGCGGUAAAAUUUCGGGGCUCAACCCCGUCGUGCCGUUGAAACUGGCGGUCUUGAGGGAGCGAGAAGGAGGCGGAAUGCGUGGUGUAGCGGUGAAAUGCAUAGAGAUCACGCAGAACUCCGAUUGCGAAGGCAGCAUACCGGCGCUCAACUGACGCUCAUGCACGAAAGCGUGGGUAUCGAACAGGAUUAGAUACCCUGGUAGUC
rnacentral:rRNA from 1 species